UACGUAGGUGGCGAGCGUUGUUCGGAUUUAUUGGGCGUAAAGGGUCCGCAGGGGGUCUGCUAAGUCUGAUGUGAAAGCCCACGGCUCAACCGUGGAACUGCAUUGGAGACUGGUAGACUAGAGUACUGGAGAGGUGAGCGGAAUUCCGGGUGUAGCGGUGGAAUGCGUAGAUAUCCGGAAGAACACCGAGAGCGAAGGCAGCUCACUGGACAGUUACUGACCCUCAGGGACGAAAGCGUGGGGAGCAAACAGG
rnacentral:rRNA from 1 species